rnacentral:rRNA from 1 species
CAGUAGCCGCGGGAAUACGUAGGUCCCGAGCGUUGUCCGGAUUUAUUGGGCGUAAAGCGAGCGCAGGCGGUUAGAAAAGUCUGAAGUGAAAGGCAGUGGCUCAACCAUUGUAGGCUUUGGAAACUGUUUAACUUGAGUGCAGAAGGGGAGAGUGGAAUUCCAUGUGUAGCGGUGAAAAGCGUAGAUAUAUGGAGGAACACCGGUGGCGAAAGCGGCUCUCUGGUCUGUAACUGACGCUGAGGCUCGAAAGCGUGGGGAGCGAACAGGAUUAGAUACCCGCGUAGUCCCUGUCUCUUAUACA